UAGCAUAAUAAAUUGUUUUUUAAUUGAANACUGGGAUGAAAGGUUUGACAAUUUAUAAGUUUAUUAAAGAUAGGAAAUGAAUUUUUUCUAUAAGUAAAAAUACUUAUAUAUUAUAGAGGGACGAUAAGACCCUAGAAGCUUAUAUUGAUUUAUUUAUAUAAUAAUUAUAUUUAAUCUAUAUAAAUAAUUAUAUUUUGGUUGGGGAAACAGAAAUUAUAAUAAUAAUUUUAUAUUUUAAUUAUACAAAAUUUUAAGAUCUUUUAAAUAAAAAGGAAAGGAUUAAGUUACUCUAGGGAUAACAGCGUAAUAGUUCUGGAUAGACCUUAUAUAUAGAGCUGAUUACGACCUCGAUGUUGAAUUAAAAAAUCUUAUUAAAGUAGAAAUUAAUUUAGAGGGUAUGUUCAACCUUUAAUUUUUU
rnacentral:rRNA from 1 species